rnacentral:lncRNA from 1 species
GAGAUGAAUUAUGUUUUGUGCGUACCUAGUGAACACUAUGCCGCCUGGGGCGAGGAUCUGGUGUUGGCAUUGAGGCUGGGAGAAAUAAUCCCUAGCGAAAGGCUGAGGGACACGGAGACAGGCAUUGGGCCGGGAGGGAGAUAUCUCUGGCUACGGGCACAGAGACUGAGGUGCAGGCAUUGGGCCGGGAGUAUUAUUAUUCAGUGCACUCACUAGCAGCACAACUUGUGUUAUGCUUCCUGAUACGAUUUCUGAUACGACUCCUGAUACGAUUUCUGAUACGACUCCUGAUACGAUUUCUGAUACGACUCCUGAUACGAUUUCUGAUAUGAUUUAUGAUAUGAUUUUCUGAGAUUGAUUUGCAGAUGGAUAUAUGAAUUGUUUUAUGGCAUGCUAGAGUUUUCUGAAAAGCUUAUCACUUAUUAUUCUAGUAGUUUUCAUUAUUAAACUGUGGGGGUUAGUAUGUUCAUAACUGUUUUUGUACUAUGUAUAUAUACAAGCUUGGUCCACUCACCCUUGUUUUGCGCCCCCAUUCAGGACUUAGGAUGAAGGCACAUAAUCCCGGCAUCAAGGUACUUCCGCAGCGGCAUCUUCGAGUCCUCUCGGGGUAGGACCCACUCAUUUGUUCAUUCAAUCUUAUCUUAAUUCUUGUUAGUGACUAGGUUUAGUUAUAUGCUCUGAACACGUUCCUAAAUUGUUAAUUCAUUGUUUU